AUCUUUGUGCAGUGGCAGUAUCAUAGCCAAUGAGGUUAAUCCGAGGCGUGAUUAUUGCUAGUUGAAAAUGUUCUUAAAAUG
rnacentral:snRNA from 1 species